rnacentral:lncRNA from 1 species
GGAACCUGGGACCUUAAAAAUGACAACCAAAUGAUAGGGCACUGGAUAAUAACUCCCCAGUCUACCUACUUCUACCUCUUUUUUUUUUUUUGACAAGGUCUCACAGUGUAGCCAUGGCUAUUCUGGAACUCUAUGUAAACCAAGCUGGAAUAGAACUCAAAGAGAUCUUCCUGCCUCUGCUUUCCCAAAGACACAUUAGGGAAGUGUGGGACGAGACAGAACAGUCUUCAAUUUCCAUAUGACUCCGUGGUCAGUGUGACUCCCAAGGACAAUCAAAGCAGAACAACAACAGCUUAACCAGAAAUGAACGUCACAGGAAGACCGUGCAGCUGUGACGUCAAAGUCCCAGGGAUCACUAGAAGGACAUUUGAGAGAGUGUUCCGACUAUCUUUGGCCCUUGGACGAUGCGAACCUAUAUUCUCUGCAGAAGAUGAUACAAUCUGAUUUAGAAAAUAAGAUCAUUACUAGUAUCAUUCUGUAAAACAAGUUAAUCUCAUAUUUUUUAUAAGACUGGAGAGCUUAUCAUCAUCAAGGAACUCUGAAUUUGCAUCCCUAAUGCAUCCUUCUCAAAGAUUCUCAGGGAAGUAGCUGAGUCACCACUGAAGAGCAGCAUUUGAUAGUGCUUUUAAUGAAGCAGGCAUGGCAUGAGAUGGGGACAGACAGAUACUAGGAGUAAGAGGGACAGAACUCCUGGACAGGAGACUGGAAGCUUCCAGAGUCAAAAGUGCCCCCCUCCCACCACCAUUCUACAUGGAGCUGCCUACAGAAAGGUAAAACGGAGCUAGGAUUCAUCGCUACUGUUUGCA